UCGUUUUUGCUUUCUGCAUCACGAGUUACAAAAUUUCAGCGUUGGGAUUUUAAAUCAUUAAGUGGAUUUAAACAGAUACGUUGCAAAACCUGAGGCCAUGCAAGUAACUGAACUUACCAAAUAAAACAACCACAAACAAAGCAGUAAGGAUGCUCUUUUUGGACUGUAAUAUUGCAAAACAUGUUUAUUCCAGACUGCAUAAAAAAAAAACCCCACACCCAGCUGCUGCUUGGGUCUAAAAUGAGUGAUAGCAGCUUCCUGGUUUCAAUAGUUUUAUUCAAAAAAGCCUCAACUUCACCAGCUCCAUAGUCACUCACCGUGUCGCUAUUCAUCUGAGAGAAUAACACUCAAAUUUGCCCAACUAAAGUUUAUUCUAUGCCAUUAAACAUAUUUUGCCGUUUUUAGAAACACUUCCUGCAGUAGGACUGGUUUAUUUCACAUGUACUGCAGAAUAAGGUUUAUUUUGUAAUUUUUUAUGCACUUUUAAUUAGAUCAUAACUGCAGGGCAAAUUAAAAAGAUCUACUCGGAUACAUGUAAAAGGUUUCCCCCAGAAAACUUGCUAAGCCCGGUGGUUGGGCUCCAGGUCAGUCAUUCAUCCAGCGGCCCGUUGUGUUUUAGAGUUAAAAUUUUUUUUUAAAGUUGACAGGAAAUUUUAAAAUAUCGCCUGAUAAUUAUGUGUUAUUGAAAAAUUGUAAGAUCAAUACCAUAACACCAACAAUAAAGUCUUUAAAAAAUGCAAACAUUUUACAAAGACUUUAAAAAAAAAGAAGCAAUGCUUAGCCUGGUUUGGACACAAGUAAAGCCUGGUGGCCCGCCAGGCUUAUAAUACACCGAGGAAAACCCUGCGCGUUGCUGAUCCCCAACAUAUUAUUAUGAAAUUGUGGGGGUUUCCUUUUGUGUUUUAGAAGGCAGCUGCAGUAAAACAAGAAAUUAGUUCUGUUACUCCAAAUAAGGAAGCAGAGCAGUUAGAUAUCUAAAAUGUUAAUCUCUGUUUUAUGUCAGUUACUUCAUAAGAAGCGAAUAUAAAUGUAAAAGUAAGUUGAAAUGAGCACAAGUAGAUGUUAAAAGAAAUAGGAUGCUUCUUUGUUUCCACAUGCAAUUUGUGUGUCCAGCCAAUAAACUAUUGUGUCUUGGAAGUUAAACAAUUUAAAUUACUGACAAGUUUAAAUAUGCCACGAGUUUUUUUUUAUUAUUGUUCUUUAUCUGCUGUUGUGCCUAUCUAAUAUGUGGGACCUGAUUGCUUUCAAGUUAUGUUUCAAUUAAAGCUUCACAUCUGAAAAACAGUUUGUCAUAGCUGUAAAGAGCCAAGACUACGAUACAAUUAAAUGAUCAAUUCCAAGCACCAAGCCAAGGUUCCCAUUGUAUUCGGCAAAGGCCACUACCAAAUGGCUAGAUGCAACAAUGUUUUAAAAAAUUGCUUUCGAAUCACUAAAAUCUUCCAGCAUACGUGCAGCUUGUGAAGUGACAGAAAUGAUCUCUGACUGAAUGGUGGACAGAGUGCCACAGUGCUGUACCUCCCCCACCUGCUGCUGCUGCGCAGCGCCGACCAGACAACUCAAACGAAGCCACUAAACCUUUUUCCACACUAUCAAGAAAAAGAAAAUAUAGACUGAAAAUAUUUCUGGUUGCAUUAAAUCUAGACAGAAGGCUGCAGGUUUUCUGUAAAAGCGGCAGAAUGCAGGCUAGCAACUCCACUAGCCAGCCCAAUUAUUUAGCUAAACAGAAGCAGCGGAACAGCAAAACGGGACAUCAAGCAAAAUACUUAUUUCAAAACUUGUACUAAAUCACCAUAUGUUUAGUCUAUAUUAUGGAAAGAAAAUAAAUAUCACAGAUACCAUUGUUAUACAGCAACUGUAACUUUGAAUAUAUAGCUAUGUUUUUGUUUAAAAUGAAUUACAUUAUGUUUUAAAUUUUUGUUUUAAUUUUUAGUGAUAAUACUGUAAAAAUUGGCCUUUUUACUCACGAUUGUCAAACUGUGACAAACUCAUAUCAUUCCAAAUUUGCCUUUAAAUGUAACAUUUGCAGCCCAAGUGCAGGUCUUGGAAACGAAAGUAAAUGUCUGGCAAGUUAUUUACUAAAUUAGCCUAAGUUAUGUUUUCAAAUCUAAAUGAGUGUUUCUAUGCUAAAACGCCGAAAAGUCGCCAGGCAAUAAAACUAAUAACACUAGUAAUCAGGGAAAUAGUUGCGAUCUUAUCCCAGCUACAGAUCGUUUAAGUAAGACGACAGCCAAGUGGAGCCUGAAUCGGACACACAUCAAACCAACAAACAAGAUAAUGCAGCCACAGUUUAGUCUUGAGGAGCACAAAACAAUACAUGACAAAAAAAAAACAACACAAAAAACAAGCAGGAGACCGGAGGUGGAGCAGCAAACAACACCAGCCAUUCCCCAGCCUUAGCAUGACAGCCACCACCCUCACGGGGACACAAUGCACAUGGUCCCAAUCCUCAUGAACGACCCGACAAUAACAGGAUGUGCCUCUGUAUAUUGAAUCGAUGCUCUUUGUGUGUGUGUGCGUGUGUGCGGAGGGGCUGGGGGAUUGAGGAGGGACAUUAAAAGAGAUAUGGAGGAAGAGAGGCAGAGUGGGAGUGAAUGGGAGAGGUGUUAUAUAAUUAGCUUGCAGAUAGACCAAAAGAUCUAAUGCACAUACACACUCUCGCACACACGCAAACACAGGUGGCAAAACUGGUUCACCAGCUCCCACCCACACACAUUCAUAAAAGUGACUGAAUGACAGACUGGCUGACUGGGUGAUAGCAGACAAACAGCCCAUACAGAAAAGCAGCCACACAAACACCCACGUUUGUGCUUUUGUGUAAGGCGCGCAUGCAUAAAAUGAGAUGUUUUUUUCCAUCUAGCAACUACAAGUUGUUGUUUUUUGUUUUUUUUUCUUUGCACAAUAUGGGCGCAAUAACUGAAAGGGUCACUUAAAAAAAAAAAAAAAAAAGAUGUUAUGAAACAGACCAAACUGGGAGGUUCAGCGGCGUUUACUGGCAGAGGACAGAGUUAGCCAUGAUGUCGGUGCGCAGGUGGGGUUUUACUUGUCAUGUGAAAGCAUGAUGGGCGUAGGCAAAAAGUCAUUCAGGUUCCUCUGUGGAGCUGGAAAACUUGAAAAGCAACAAAGGAAAUAAUAGAAAUUUAAAAUAGACACCUCAGUUACCUACUUGUGUUUCCAUUAAUCUAAACUAACUGCAAGCUAGCUUACACUGUAAGCUAUCUUACACUGUAAGCUAGCUUUCUUGCUUACAGUGAAAAGCAACUAUCUCAUAGUUCAUUGGCUAAAUGGCUAAAAUUGCUUAUAAAAAUGGCCCUAAUGUGUUAUACUUUUAAAAUAUCAUAUCUUGACUUCAUUAUUCCAACUAGAGUGAUGUUAGCUUUGGCUAAAAUAUCUUCCCAUGUAUUUUAAGGUUGCAGUACAUUGAGGCUACUUUGGUGGCAAAUGAAGCAUUUAUGCAACCUUUGUGGCAUACCAAAAUAAUAAAAAAAACAAUACAGAGAAAAUGUAUCCUAUUUCUAUCAAAGGAAUAAAUAGCCUUGCUCCAGGCAACUACGAUGGAUUAUCACUAUAUGCCUCAAAUAAAACCACCAAAAUAAACACCUGAAUGCAGCUAUAGAAUGAAUAACACCCCAAACAUAGAGCUUAUUUUCCAAAUGUGCAGGCCAAAUCUGAACAAGGCCCAUAUGGGGCCAGAAUUAGUUGGCCCACAUGCAGCUAAAAGAGUCCAAACACCCAAAAACCAGUCUUCCCUAGUAAUUACCACUGAACCAGAGCUCACCAACCACCAUUAGAGCACUCCCACACAGACUACGUCAUUAUAUACCGACUACAUGGUACUGAUGAGAUCACUUCUAGUAUUGCAGAAAGAGAAUGAUGAUGUGUUCUUCAGCUUGAGCAACAAUUUCUCCAUUAACUCCUAGAAAAGCAGUUUAUAAAUAACUAGCACGAUGACUGAAAAACUACACAGCAGAAAUGCAAUCUUUUGCAUAAGCAGUGACAAGAAAAAAUACAAGUACAAUUUUGUUCUUGCCUAAGAACUUCUAAAAAAAAAAGAAAAAGAAAAAAGACCUACGCUUGCUUUUAUUUUAAUUGGAAAAUGAACAAGGGUUCUGACUGGAGUUCAGCACAUUUAUUGAUGCUCCUUCAGCUUCCACUCAGUAACUCUCACUGUUUUUUAAUGACCCAAUAUUUCUAAACUGUAGCUGCGUUUCCAUUACAAACGUGCGCGAAAUUUUUCAAUAUGCCGCUAAUGUCAGCAAAUUAAAGAAAAAAAAACAAACAACAACACAAUUUCACAAUUGUGGUGUUUCCAGUAAAAAAAAAAAACAAAAAUAAAACACAAUUAAAAUCACACUGCAAGACAACAUUCACCCACUACUUCGGGUUGUCUCCGUCAUCUGGUUGUUGAUCACGUGACUUGUGUGAUGAAAAAUAAAAUGUUUCUAUUACUGUUUAGCAAAAAUAAUACACUAAAUUUGAUACAGCCAAGAAACCACCCGACGCCCUCAGGUGGGUUUUGGGGCGUCGGGUGGUGCGGUGGUCGGAGGGUGCGCCCCGUAUGCACCGCAGAGCUGCAGACUUAAGAGUCCCGUUCUCGGCUCGGUAUCGUUCCCACGUGUCUUUCCACAGUUCUCUUUGUCUCCUUCCUGUCGAAAUAUUGUUGAAUAAAGGCCACUGGUGCCAAAAAUAUAUACGUGAAAAAAAGGGAGUUGUUUUUUUUUUUUUUAAACUGGCAUUUUUCCAUUCAGUUGCUGUUUUUUUUGUAAUUCCAGUUUGCACAGUUACAGUAUAUUGCUAAUGGAAAUGCAGCUGUGAAUAAGACUUUCUUGUAAGUAACGAAAAUGUGUAGAUACUUCCUUCAGCCAGCUGGCAGGCAGUGUGCAGUGACAGUUAGAGGAGAGGCAGCUUAGCGUUAUUCUUUACAACUUAAGAAAACUCUAGAAAACUGGCACUUUUUUUUAAAUGAAUGUUCAAAAUGGUGGGAUGGCAAUUUGACUGCAGUAAAAUCUUAUUAAACCAGCUUGCUCCGUACAUUAAAGUAAAUCAAGACGCAGUUACUUUGAACUUCAAGUCAUUCAUUUGUUACUUUUGGCUCUGUAAAACUGCCAUAGAAAAUGUUUGCAUUUGGAAAUCCAUACUGUUGCCUUUACAUGACUCAGACACACAUGACGAAUCCAGAUAUAGCGCGACAGCAUCCAAGCCAUCCGCAUGCAGAAAUAAACACCAAAUUCUGCAAUAAAUAGACACAUGUGCUUUCAGAUACACGAUCCAGGCUAUCAGCUCUCUGAGAUGAACUCGUCACAUUUUGGUCCGUCUUGUGACCCAUGUCUAGCGCCCCGUCUGCCGACAGGCCCUGUAAUCUGUGGUCGGAACACACAGACAGCCACAACCAGCAGCAGAGCGCUGCUUUAAUACCCUUGGAGGAGACUAAACAUCUUGGCACAGAUGCACUCACACUAACAUUUAGGAACUGUGAAUCUAAUUCUGUCCAUGUCAAUGUUGCAUGAAGCGCUAGGUGCUGGAAAGAAA